UGUGACAACAGCCUUCCUAUGGCUCUUAAACCAGGCAGCAGCUCAGCAGUGACCCAGCAAGGGAAGAAAGACACUCACACACAGUCCCAGCAAAACACAGUGUUUGUGCCUCUCAGCUGUCCGAAAAUGUAUGUUCAGGCUACUGGGGCAAGGUAAACACAUGGCAGAAAUUCAAUUGACUGGAGGAGCUGCACUAAAAUAAGCAGCAAUGCAAUUUGAGAAAUUAGCCUCAUGGAACUUGUUUUUCAACUCUUCUAGAAGACAAAUCUGACUGAAGCUGGCCAGAAGUUCAAAGAUCAAGGAUGAAUCUCCCAAAAUAUCUGCAUUGUUCCCAACUUGAGACAAGUAGACACUCAGCACAGCAUCACCAAUAAAAGACCUUCCCACAAGAAGAUCUGGAGUACAGCAGUGACCUUAAUCUCUGCUGUACUUUUUUGUAAAUGUCUUUAGCACACAGUAAGAACAAUUGCACAAACAGAUAUCUGUCUUCUGCUUACAGCUUUAAAGGACAUCAUGGAAGUGCUGAGCUUAUUCAAACCUAUGGAGUCAGCAGUUUU